rnacentral:rRNA from 1 species
AUUGAACGCUGGCGGCAUGCUUUACACAUGCAAGUCGAACGGCAGCACGGGAGCUUGCUCCUGGUGGCGAGUGGCGAACGGGUGAGUAAUGCAUCGGAACGUAUCCAAUAAUGGGGGAUAACGCAGCGAAAGUUGUGCUAAUACCGCAUACGCCCUGAGGGGGAAAGCGGGGGACCGUAAGGCCUCGCGUUAAUGGAGCGGCUGAUGUCGGAUUAGCUAGUUGGUGAGGUAAAGGCUCACCAAGGCGACGAUCCGUAGCUGGUCUGAGAGGACGACCAGCCACACUGGGACUGAGACACGGCCCAGACUCCUACGGGAGGCAGCAGUGGGGAAUUUUGGACAAUGGGGGCAACCCUGAUCCAGCCAUGCCGCGUGAGUGAAGAAGGCCUUCGGGUUGUAAAGCUCUUUCGUGAGGAAAGAAACGGCCACGGAUAAUACCUGUGGUUAAUGACGGUACCUCAAGAAGAAGCACCGGCUAACUACGUGCCAGCCGCCGCAGUAAGAC